CAGCAAACCUAAAAAGGCAGAGAUCCCCCCUUUAGACACCUCCAGGGCUCCCCAAUGCUUUCUUGACAGUUCACAUCCUAGCCAGAUAGUUCAAGGAUGGCUUUUCCAAUUUGGAAGACUGUCUCUACAUCAGGAAAGUUGGAAUGAACUUUUGCUAAGACAGCCCACGGAAUCCCGGACAGGCAAUCCCUCCCACUCCCAGCAUGCCUGAGCCAAUGGGAGGGUCAGUGAGUCAGAGAGGUGGGGUUUUCCUUCCAGGGGCUAAGUUCUGCUUCUAUCCUGCCUGCCCUUGGCUUUUUUCUCUUCAGGUUAAUGGGAUCUGUCAGCUUGGUUUGUGCUUGUGCAGCUGCGUGCACACAAGCCGUUCCCCUCUUCCCAUCUGACGGUUGGAGGCCACCCAUUAUUAUCAGCCCUUACUGGUUCAGAGAAAUAGAACUUUAAGACAGGCUUCCAGAGAAGUUCCGAUAAAUCAGUCGCUGUCGUCAGCUCUUUCUGGAUGGUGGCCACCGCGGUUACCUAACUAGCCACUCUAUUUCCAUGCUUUUACUCGUACAAGCCAGGCUCUUCACACCUCAGCCUGGGAUGGACUUGGAUGGAGUCAUACUUUGAUUUGGUGUUUGAAUCAAAGAUGGAUGCAAUUCAUAUCACCUCCGUGGAAGAAAUGUUCAUGAAACUCAAGUAAUGUAGUUUCUUUCGUCUUCCUUUAAAAACUGUGGCACAAUAAACUUGUUAGUUUUACCACCUUUGCCAUUUCCAAGUAUAUAGUUCAGAGAAGUGUUAAGUGCUAUGGGUGUUUUAUACCCAUUACUUUUAUCUAUCUGCAGAAGGUUUCCAUCACUUGAAUUGAAAUUCUACCUAUCUGAUAAUGACAGCCCAUUUUCCUUCCCCACGAGCCUAUGGUGACUAGUGUCUUCACGUAAGUGAAAGCACACAGUAUUUAUCCUCCUGUGUGCCUGUCUUGUUCACUCAGUGUGUCUUCACAGAUCCCUUGUUUAUUUCCUCUUGGAGAAAGUCUGUUCAAGUUCCCUGCCAAUUUUUAAUAAAGCUACCGCUUGAUGUCAGGUCACAGGAGCUCCUCGUGUAUUCUGGACUCCAAUCCCUCAUUAGAUAUGUGCUUUAUAAACAUUUCCUCACUUCUCUGAUUUGC
rnacentral:lncRNA from 1 species